rnacentral:rRNA from 1 species
GAUGAACGCUGGCGGCGUGCCUAAUACAUGCAAGUCGAGCGAACAGACGAGGAGCUUGCUCCUCUGACGUUAGCGGCGGACGGGUGAGUAACACGUGGAUAACCUACCUAUAAGACUGGGAUAACUUCGGGAAACCGGAGCUAAUACCGGAUAAUAUAUUGAACCGCAUGGUUCAAUAGUGAAAGACGGUUUUGCUGUCACUUAUAGAUGGAUCCGCGCCGCAUUAGCUAGUUGGUAAGGUAACGGCUUACCAAGGCAACGAUGCGUAGCCGACCUGAGAGGGUGAUCGGCCACACUGGAACUGAGACACGUCCAGACUCCUACGGGAGGCAGCAGUAGGGAAUCUUCCGCAAUGGGCGAAAGCUUGACGGAGCAACGCCGCGUGAGUGAUGAAGGUCUUCGGAUCGUAAAACUCUGUUAUUAGGGAAGAACAAAUGUGUAAGUAACUAUGCACGUCUUGACGGUACCUAAUCAGAAAGCCACGGCUAACUACGUG